rnacentral:rRNA from 1 species
AUUGAACGCUGGCGGCAGGCCUAACACAUGCAAGUCGAGCGGUAGAGAGGUGCUUGCAUCUCUUGAGAGCGGCGGACGGGUGAGUAAUGCCUAGGAAUCUGCCUAGUGGUGGGGGAUAACGUUCGGAAACGGACGCUAAUACCGCAUACGUCCUACGGGAGAAAGCGGGGGAUCUUCGGACCUCGCGCCAUUAGAUGAGCCUAGGUCGGAUUAGCUAGUUGGUGAGGUAAUGGCUCACCAAGGCGACGAUCCGUAACUGGUCUGAGAGGAUGAUCAGUCACACUGGAACUGAGACACGGUCCAGACUCCUACGGGAGGCAGCAGUGGGGAAUAUUGGGACAAUGGGCGAAAGCCUGAUCCAGCCAUGCCGCGUGUGUGAAGAAGGUCUUCGGAUUGUAAAGCACUUAAGUUUAGGGAGGAAGGGUAGGUAACCUAAU